AUGUAUCCGCCUGGCCGCUUCUUCCGCGGUACGGGCCCUAACGCCGGCUGCACAAUGUCCGACACUGAGCGCGGCAUAGCGGCACUUGGUAUAAAUUACAAUCGUGUUCUCAAGGCGGCUCGGGACACCCACCCGCACCCUGACACUCUGGGACGCCUCCAGCCGGUGCUGAUGGGCGCCAUGAUGCAUUGUCUCUCCGAUGACGCGGAUUCACUCACAAGGAGGAUGGAUGACUUCCUUGUCAAAUUCAGCAAGUUCACCAGGAAGAUGGACGACAUCAGCGCGCGCCUCCAGGCCACGCGCAGCCCGAAAGGCCGCCGCUGCGGCAUCUCCCCCGCUGCCCAGCUCGCCGGCCUUUAUGGAGAUGAUCUCUUCCGCGCGCUGAUGGGCGUGCAGCUGCCCGUGGCCACACCUGCGGAGGUCUGCCUGGAGGUCGCCCUUGCUGCACAGCGCCUCAUCGUGCAUGACCAGCUCGACCUUUUCAUCAACCUCUUUGAGAAGACUGUCUUCGGGGCCAACACUACGACGAUCAGGGAGUACAACAUCAUGGCCUUCAAGGACCACAGGAAAACCUUGGAGAAGUUCGUUCAAGAGCACAUUGACCUCGCCGACGCCGCUGCCACUUCACAUCCACCUACCGGCCGAGCACAGUAG
rnacentral:rRNA from 1 species